AUGCCUGGAGGGAGGACCGCACACUCGAGGUUCAAAAUUCCAUUAAGAAUAGACGAUGGAGAUAUUUGUGGGUUCACAAAACAAAGUGGGACAGCCAAGCUACUCCAAGCAGCAUCAUUAAUAAUCUGGGACGAAGCAUCUAUGACUAAGAGGCAGACAGUGGAGGCACUAGACAAAAGCAUGCGAGACAUAAUGGACAAACCAGAUCUUCCAUUCGGUGGAAAAACGGUCGUGUUUGGUGGUGAUUUUAGGCAAGUGCUCCCUAUUGUCCGAAAGGGAACAAGAGCCCAGAUAGUAGAUGCAUCACUACGCAGGUCCGAGCUCUGGAAUUGCAUGCAUCAAUUGAAGCUUGUGCGCAACAUGAGGGCCCCAAACGACCCAUGGUUCACAGAAUACCUACUACGCGUUGGGAAUGGAACCGAGGAGACAAAUGAUGAUGGUGAAAUACUUCUACCUACAAGUAUAUGUGUGCCAAAUAAGGCGGAUGAUAAUGGCCUUGAUAGACUGAUUGACAGUAUCUACCAACCUGCUUCCCUAAAAGAUCCAAAAUACAUCACGUCAAGGGCAAUUUUAUCCACAAGAAACGACUGCGUAGACAAAAUCAACCUAAAAAUGAUUGAUCGCUUCCAAGGGGAGGAGAUGGUGUACCAUAGCUUCGAUUCUGUAGAAGACGACCCACAUAACUACUAUCCACCAAAAUUCCUAAACACACUCACCCCAAAUGGAUUGCCUCCACAUAUGCUAAAGCUCAAAAUAAAUUGUCCAAUCAUACUACUCAGGAAUAUUGACCCCGCUAAUGGACUAUGCAAUGGCACAAGGUUGCUCGUACGUGGGUUUCAGAAAAAUGCAAUCGAUGCAGAGAUUGUGGUAGGGCAGCACUCAGGAAUGCGAGUUUUCUUGCCUCGGAUACCAUUAUGCCCCUCUGACGACGACAUGUUCCCAUUUAGUUUCAAGAGGAAACAAUUUCCAAUCAGGCUCAGUUUUGCAAUGACAAUAAACAAAUCACAAGGUCAGACAAUAGCAAAUGUCGGCAUCUACUUGCCUGAACCGGUAUUCUCACAUGGUCAACUAUAUGUUGCACUUUCUAGAGCGACCACGACAGCAAACAUAAAGGUACUAACAGGUACACAUGAUGAGAACAAGGAGAAGAAUAAGAAGAUCAGUACAAGUGACACAUACACAAAGGAGGAGAAGAAAAAAAAGAAUAAGAAUAAGAAUAUCAGUGCAAGCAAGACAUACACAAAGAAUAUUGUCUACACAGAAGUCCUCACCAAAUAG
rnacentral:rRNA from 1 species